AACCACACUAUCGAUGUAUAGAUUCACCCGCGAGAUGAUGUGGCUGUUUCACCUAGGACGAGGACAUGGCAUCCUAUUACCAGCCAUCGCACGAAAUUAAUAUGAUGCCACGUCCUCAUACUAGAUGCAGCCAUCGCACGAAAUUAAUAUGAUGCCACGUCCUCGUCCUAGGUGAAACAACCACGUCGUCAGAUCACAAGUGAAUCCAUUCAUCGAUAGUGUGGUU
rfam:Oryza nivara chromosome 1, whole genome shotgun sequence.